AGUGAACGCUGGCGGUAGGCCUAACACAUGCAAGUCGAACGGCAGCACAGUAAGAGCUUGCUCUUACGGGUGGCGAGUGGCGGACGGGUGAGGAAUACAUCGGAAUCUACUUUUUCGUGGGGGAUAACGUAGGGAAACUUACGCUAAUACCGCAUACGACCUACGGGUGAAAGCAGGGGAUCUUCGGACCUUGCGCGAUUGAAUGAGCCGAUGUCGGAUUAGCUAGUUGGCGGGGUAAAGGCCCACCAAGGCGACGAUCCGUAGCUGGUCUGAGAGGAUGAUCGGCCCCCCUGAACCUGAGCCCGGGUCCAGCCUCCUCCGGAGGCAGCAGUGGGGAAUAUUGGACAAUGGGCGCAAGCCUGAUCCAGCCAUACCGCGUGGGUGAAGAAGGCCUUCGGGUUGUAAAGCCCUUUUGUUGGGAAAGAAAAGCAGCAGGUUAAUACCCCGCUGUUCUGACGGUACCCAAAGAAUAAGCACCGGCUAACUUCGUG
rnacentral:rRNA from 1 species